CGCGGUUUGGCGCAAAGGACGAGAAGCCAGCGCCGCAGCGGUUUGCUUCUGCUCCUGUUGGCAGCAGGGGCACAAAACCCGCUCCUUGGCUUGCUUCAGCGAAGAGCUGGAGGUGGGACGGGACAGUAACGUAAUCAGCUCCCCGCUCAGUGCAAGGGGGGGCCACAGCGAGGGGGGACCAUGCCUGAUAACCGCCAAGAGGGAGCCUAUGGAGGUUGCAGAGUGCAUGGGAAGAUGAACACGGUUACAAUAAUCGCAUUCCUCAUACUUAAGGUUAAGAUUUUGUCACAGUUAUUUUCAGUAAAAGUCAGGGGCAGUACACAGGGGAAGCUCCCAGCCUGAGCCUUGCUGCUCAGAACGGACCGACAGCCUGAGCCCCUCUGCCUGCAGGGGGAAGCUGAUCUGCAGAACCCAGCUGCCCAGGGCAGACUAGCAACCCCAGCCCCACCGCCCAUAGCAUUGCCAAAGGCGUCCUCCUGGGUUGGCCAGGAGUCUCCCAGGACUGGGCUCGAUCUCUCUGAGGCUACUGAAGCUAAUCCGGGAGAUUUUAGGCUGCUAAAAGUCGAGCAGCGCAAUGGGGCGAAGGCAGGCUCCCUCCUUGCCCUGGCUCCACACGGCCCCCAGAAGCAGCUGGCAUGUCCCUGCGGCCCCUCAGCGGAGGCAGAGCCAGGGGGUCUCCGUGAGCUACCCCGGGCCCAAGCACCCACUCCGCAGCUCCCAGUGGCUGGGAACAGGGAACCAUGGCCAAUGGGAGCUGCGGGGGCAGUGCCUGUAGGCACUUGGCCGCCCCUGAGACUAGGAGCCGCUGUCAGACAUGCCGUCGUUUCCAGGAGCCACCCAAGAUUCACUGGGACACAUUUGAAGCUCAGGGUUUGUCUGUUUGUGAAUGGCACCUUCCUGUCCUUGGAAAGAGGAAGGCCAGAUGUGAUCAUUUGCUGUCAAGAGGCUUAUCCACUUAACUUCAGCUAUAAAGAAAGCGUUGAGCCUGAUCCUAUUUUAUCGCAGAUCUGUUAAAAUUUUGACAGGGAAAAUCUAUGCCCACAAGACUGAGGUCUCCAGGUCUACUUUCAAUUAAC